rnacentral:pre_miRNA from 13 species
UUUAUGGGAUACACCAAGUUCAGUUUUGUCGCAUUCCACGAGCAUCACUGGGCUUUGUUUAUCUCAUAGA